GAUGAACGCUGGCGGCGUGCCUAAUACAUGCAAGUCGAGCGAACGGACGAGAAGCUUGCUUCUCUGAUGUUAGCGGCGGACGGGUGAGUAACACGUGGAUAACCUACCUAUAAGACUGGGAUAACUUCGGGAAACCGGAGCUAAUACCGGAUAAUAUUUUGAACCGCAUGGUUCAAAAGUGAAAGACGGUCUUGCUGUCACUUAUAGAUGGAUCCGCGCUGCAUUAGCUAGUUGGUAAGGUAACGGCUUACCAAGGUAACGAUGCAUAGCCGACCUGAGAGGGUGAUCGGCCACACGGGAACUGAGACACGGUCCAGACUCCUACGGGAGGCAGCAGUAGGGAAUCUUCCGCAAUGGGCGAAAGCCUGACGGAGCAACGCCGCGUGAGUGAUGAAGGUCUUCGGAUCGUAAAACUCUGUUAUUAGGGAAGAACAUAUGUGUAAGUAACUGUGCACAUCUUGACGGUACCUAAUCAGAAAGCCACGGCUAACUACGUG
rnacentral:rRNA from 1 species